rnacentral:rRNA from 1 species
CUACGUGCCAGCAGCCGCGGUAAUACGUAGGGUGCGAGCGUUGUCCGGAAUUACUGGGCGUAAAGAGCUCGUAGGUGGUUUGUUGCGUCGUCUGUGAAAUUCCGGGGCUUAACUUCGGGGUGGCAGGCGAUACGGGCAUAACUAGAGUGCUGUAGGGGAGACUGGAAUUCCUGGUGUAGCGGUGGAAUGCGCAGAUAUCAGGAGGAACACCGAUGGCGAAGGCAGGUCUCUGGGCUGUAACUGACGCUGAGAAGCGAAAGCAUGGGGAGCGAACAGGAUUAGAUACCCUGGUAGUCCAUGCCGUAAACGUUGGGCACUAGGUGUGGGGGACAUUCCACGUUUUCCGCGCCGUAGCUAACGCAUUAAGUGCCCCGCCUGGGGAGUACGGCCGCAAGGCUAAAACUCAAAGAAAUUGACGGGGGCCCGCACAAGCGGCGGAGCAUGCGGAUUAAUUCGAUGCAACGCGAAGAACCUUACUAAGGCUUGACAU